rnacentral:rRNA from 1 species
UACGGGGGGGGCAAGCGUUGUUCGGAAUUACUGGGCGUAAAGGGCUCGUAGGUGGCCAACUAAGUCGGACGUGAAAUCCCUCAGCUUAACUGGGGAACUGCGUCCGAUACUGGAUGGCUUGAGUUUGGGAGAGGGAUGCGGAAUUCCAGGUGUAGCGGUGAAAUGCGUAGAUAUCUGGAGGAACACCGGUGGCGAAGGCGGCAUCCUGGAACAACACUGACACUGAGGAGCGAAAGCGUGGGGAGCAAACAGG